GGAGUGCGUGCAUGACUAAUACAUGCAAGUCGAGCGGACUUGAAGAGAAGCUUGCUUCUCUGAUGGUUAGCGGCGGACGGGUGAGUAACACGUAGGCAACCUGCCCUCAAGCUUGGGACAACUACCGGAAACGGUAGCUAAUACCGAAUACUUGCUUUCUUCGCCUGAAGGGAGCUGGAAAGACGGAGCAAUCUGUCACUUGAGGAUGGGCCUGCGGCGCAUUAGCUAGUUGGUGAGGUAACGGCUCACCAAGGCGACGAUGCGUAGCCGACCUGAGAGGGUGAUCGGCCACACUGGGACUGAGACACGGCCCAGACUCCUACGGGAGGCAGCAGUAGGGAAUCUUCCGCAAUGGGCGAAAGCCUGACGGAGCAAUGCCGCGUGAGUGAUGAAGGUUUUCGGAUCGUAAAGCUCUGUUGCCAGGGAAGAACGUCCUUGAGAGUAACUGCUCAAGGAGUGACGGUACCUGAGAAGAAAGCCCCGGCUAACUACGUGCCAGCAGCCGCGGUAAUACGUAGGGGGCAAGCGUUGUCCGGAAUUAUUGGGCGUAAAGCGCGCGCAGGCGGUCAUUUAAGUCUGGUGUUUAAUCCCGGGGCUCAACCCCGGAUCGCACUGGAAACUGGAUGACUUGAGUGCAGAAGAGGAGAGUGGAAUUCCACGUGUAGCGGUGAAAUGCGUAGAGAUGUGGAGGAACACCAGUGGCGAAGGCGACUCUCUGGGCUGUAACUGACGCUGAGGCGCGAAAGCGUGGGGAGCAAACAGGAUUAGUAUUUGG
rnacentral:rRNA from 1 species